rnacentral:sRNA from 1 species
GCUGGGUGUGGUGGUGUGCACCUGUAAUCCCAGCAGCUCAGGAGGCUGAGACAGGAUCACAAGUCGAGGCUGGCCUUAGCAACUUAGUGAGACCUUGUCUUAA